GAUGAACGCUGGCGGCGUGCCUAAUACAUGCAAGUCGAGCGAACAGACGAGGAGCUUGCUCCUCUGACGUUAGCGGCGGACGGGUGAGUAACACGUGGAUAACCUACCUAUAAGACUGGGAUAACUUCGGGAAACCGGAGCUAAUACCGGAUAACAUGUUGAACCGCAUGGUUCAACAGUGAAAGACGGUCUUGCUGUCACUUAUAGAUGGAUCCGCGCCGCAUUAGCUAGUUGGUAAGGUAACGGCUUACCAAGGCAACGAUGCGUAGCCGACCUGAGAGGGUGAUCGGCCACACUGGAACUGAGACACGGUCCAGACUCCUACGGGAGGCAGCAGUAGGGAAUCUUCCGCAAUGGGCGGAAUCCUGACGGAGCAACGCCGCGUGAGUGAAGAAGGUCUUCGGAUCGUAAAACUCUGUUAUUAGGGAAGAACAAAUGUGUAAGUAACUAUGCACGUCUUGACGGUACCUAAUCAGAAAGCCACGGCUAACUACGUG
rnacentral:rRNA from 1 species